AGUGAAACAUGUAGCAACUCAAAUAUAAACAUGAAGAAUCAGGUUCUCUUAGUAGUUGACUAUAAGCUCAUUAAGUAAAAGUUUAAAUUAGCAAACUUGUUUUCCUCAUAAAGAAAUCAGGAUUGCCUUUCUCUUUCCUAGAUCUGAACUAUUCAAUUAUUUUUCUUUUUAUGCCAUAGUUCACAAAGAUGUCCAAAACUAAUGGCUUAUCAGAAGAUUUGAUAUGGCACUGUAAAACACUGAUCCAAGAAAGAGAUGUAGUUAUAAGGCUUAUGAACAAAUGUGAAGACAUUUCAAAUAAAUUGACCAAACAAGUUACCAUGCUUACUGGAAAUGGAGGUGGAUGGAACAUAGAACAACCUUCCAUUCUAAACCAAAGUUUGUCACUCAAGCCCUAUCAGAAGGUUGGUUUGAAUUGGCUGGCAUUGGUACAUAAACAUGGACUUAAUGGCAUUUUGGCAGAUGAAAUGGGCCUAGGAAAAACUAUUCAAGCCAUUGCAUUUCUGGCAUACCUCUAUCAGGAGGGUAAUAAUGGUCCUCAUUUGAUCGUUGUU
rnacentral:sRNA from 1 species